GAGAAUAGGGCCGUCGUCAGUAUUUUGCGGCAAUUCGUUUACCUGUCAUCUCACGGAGCAUCAGACUCUGCUUUCUUCCUUCAUUUAGUUUCUGCUGAUCAGAUGCUCUAAGGAAUAGCAAAACAAGUGAGCAAUAAUUUAGCUAAGGGAGAAUUACCUCUUUAAGCAGAUGUAAUUUCUUCUUUUCAGGAAUUAGGUUUUUCAUUCUCAAGAGGACACCAAUUUUGCAAUUAUCUUUCUGACAGACUUCUUGAAUGUGUGCACCAGAGCUAAGUUUAAUAUCUAUAUGGACUCCUCAUGGCGUUAAUGAACUUGUGCAUUCAA